AUUGAACGCUGGCGGCAGGCCUAACACAUGCAAGUCGAGCGGAAACGAGUUAUCAGAACCUUCGGGGAACGAUAACGGCGUCGAGCGGCGGACGGGUGAGUAAUGCCUAGGAAAUUGCCCUGAUGUGGGGGAUAACCAUUGGAAACGAUGGCUAAUACCGCAUGAUGCCUACGGGCCAAAGAGGGGGACCUUCGGGCCUCUCGCGUCAGGAUAUGCCUAGGUGGGAUUAGCUAGUUGGUGAGGUAAGGGCUCACCAAGGCGACGAUCCCUAGCUGGUCUGAGAGGAUGAUCAGCCACACUGGAACUGAGACACGGUCCAGACUCCUACGGGAGGCAGCAGUGGGGAAUAUUGCACAAUGGGCGCAAGCCUGAUGCAGCCAUGCCGCGUGUGUGAAGAAGGCCUGAAAUAGGUUGUAAACUUCUUUUACUGAGUAAUGAAUACUGACAACGCAGUAAAAAAGUAUCGGCUAACUCCGUGCCAGCCGCCGCGGUAAGAC
rnacentral:rRNA from 1 species